rnacentral:sRNA from 1 species
UGUCUAAACUAGUAGCAAUACUAGCAUGACAAACAAAGUCCAAGCAGGACAAAAAACCCAUCAUAUGGGGUUGACCUGCUUGGCUACGCCGGGAAACUGGCGUAAGUGACGAAAGUCACU